GCAUGAGCCACCACACCCGGCCAAAAUUUCUUUAUUCUAUCCUCAUACUUUAUUGGUGGUUUGGUUGGAUCUAAAAUUCUUAGCUAAACCUAAUUUCUCUUCAGAAUGUUGAAGAUAACAGCCCUUUGCUUUCUAGAAUUCAGUGACAAUGUUGAGAAGCAUGAAGUUAUUUUUUCUCCUUUCUUUUGAUCUGAUCCUUUUUCCUCUCUUUGGAAGCUUUGAUGGUGUUUACUCCCAGUGCUGUAGUUUUUUUCUUCUUCAUUUUUGUUUGAUACUCUCUGGAUCUCUUACUGGCUAAACAAUAGAAUUCCUGGUUGAUUGUUUAAGUCUCUUACCUUUCUUCUCCAGUGUUCCAUCUCUUUGUCUCCUUGUUUGACUUUCUGGGAGAUGUCAUCAAUGUUCUCGUGCUCUUCUUUUCUGCUUUUAAAUUCGGUGAUUGUAUUUUAAAUUCCCAAAUGCUUUUUAAAAAUAAUUUUCUUUAGUUCCCUGUAUCAUCUUGGUUUCCUCUGAGUUCCUUUUUGGUUGGUUUGUUACCUUUGAUAUUGUGAGCUUUUCCCAAUUAUCUGGUGAUUCUUGGGUUUUUGUUCUUUUUACAUGUGUGUUUACAUGACAGAAAUAAACUAAAAAGAUAUAUUGGAAGGCCUUGCUGGAGUGAGGAGGACAGGUCAAAUGGUGGGUUUCACUUAUGGUGAUCGGUUGGUACACCAGUCUUUUUAUUGGCCAACUACCAAAUGUCAGGACGAGAAAGUAAAGUAACUUAGUUUCUCCAUAGAAGAAACUAAAUUCUCCCAUCUUAAGUUGCAUUUUGUGAGCAAGGUGUAGAAAUGAGUCUGACCGUCCACUGUUCAGCCAGAACAUUUAGGCUGAUGCAGCCAAGGAUAUUCAGGUUAGAUGUCUGUAACAUGUACAUCUGCAUUAAAAAGUAGUCUGAAAGUACAUAUACCAAAAUGUUAAACUAGUUAUCUCUUAGUUGUGGAUUCACAGGUUAUUUAAAUUCUCUUUUUUCUUAUUUAAAUUUUCUAAUUUUUCUACAAAAUUAACUAUUUGAUUUUUUAAAGUAUGUAAAUAAAAUCAAACCAUAAAAAACACCCAAUUUCUUAAAUGGACAAAAUAUUUCAACAGAUAUUUCAUCAAAGAAGAUAUAUAGAUAGCAAAAUAAGUAAGUGAAAAGAUGUACAACACCUUUUGUAAUUAGAGAAAAAUUAAAACCACAACGAGAUACUACUAUAUACUCAUUGAAUGGCUUUUUUAAAACAACACAUAUACUACCAAGUGCUGGUAAUGGUGUACAGCAAUUUUCAUACAUUGUUGAUGGGAAUGCAAAAUGGUACAGCCACUUUGGAAAACAGUUGACAGUUUUCAUGAGGUCAAACACAUACCACAUGGCCAAUAAUCCUACUCCUAGAUAUUUACCAAAGAAAAAUGAAAGUAUAUGUUCAUACAAAAAUCUGUACAUGAAUAUUUACAGUAGAUUUAUUCAUAAUAGCCAGAACCUGGAAACAACCCAAAUAUCCUUCAACUGUAGGAUAUUCCUUUGAUAUUCCAUAGUAUGAAUACCUCCAUACUAUGGAAUACUACCCAACAAUGAAAAGAAAUGAACUAUUGAUACAUAUUACAACAAUAUGAACAAAUCUCAAAUGCAUUAUGUUAAGUGAAAGAAGCCAGACUCAAAGGCUAUGUUCUUUCUAAUUUCAUUUAUAUGACAUUCUGGAAAAGCAAAACUAUAGGGACAUAGGACAGAUAGGUGGUUGCCAGGGGUCAGGGGCAAAGGGAGAAGCUAACAAAAGGACAGUAUGAGAGAAUUUUUUGAGUGAUGGCACUUUCUGUUUCUUGAUUAUAUGACUCUAUGCAUUUGUCAAAACGCAUGGUAUCAUGUGCUAAAAUGAGUGACUUUUAGUGUAUAGAAAUUUUUCGGGCCAGGCGAGGUAGCUCGCACCCGUAAUCCCAGCAUUUUGGGAGGCUGAGGUGAGCGGAUCAUCUGAGGUCAGGCGUUCAAGACCAGCCUGGCCAACAUGGCGAAACCCCAUCUCUACUACAAACUCCAAAAAUUAGCUGGGCGUGGUGGUGGGUGCCUGUAAUCCCAGCUACUUGGGAUGCUGAGGCAGGGAGAAUUGCUUGAACCUGAGAGGCAGAAUUUGCGGUGAGCCGAGAUCACACCACUGCACUCCAGCCUGGGCAACAAAGUGAGGCUCCAUCUUAAAAAAAA
ensembl:lncRNA